UAAUACGUGAUGUGAACAUCCGCUGUGGCGGAUGUUUAAAGACUUGAUCGCUUGGGGAUGGGGUUGCGUUCCAUCAGCUGGUUGGUGGGGUAAAGGCCCACCAAGGCAACGACGGAUAGCCGGCCUGAGAGGGUGGCCGGCCACAGGGGCACUGAGACACGGGUCCCACUCCUACGGGAGGCAGCAGUUAGGAAUCUUCCACAAUGGGCGCAAGCCUGAUGGAGCGACGCCGCGUGAGGGAUGAAGGUUCUCGGAUCGUAAACCUCUGAAUCAACGACGAAAGACCCGACGAGGGAGAUGACGGUAGUUGAGUAAUAGCACCGGCUAACUCCGUGC
rnacentral:rRNA from 1 species